UACGUAGGGGGCGAGCGUUGUCCGGAGUUACUGGGCGGAAAGGGCACGCAGGCGGUGCGGCGCGUUUCGCGUGACAGCGGAGGGCUUAACUCUCCGAGGAUGCGAAAGACGGCGGCACUUGGGGGCCAGAGAGGGACACGGAAUUCCGGGUGGAGUGGUGAAAUGCGUAGAGAUCCGGAGGAACACCGAAGGCGAAGGCAGUGUCCUGGCUGGUGACUGACGCUGAGGUGCGAAAGCUAGGGGAGCGAACGGG
rnacentral:rRNA from 1 species